GGGGAAUAUUGGACAAUGGGCGCAAGCCUGAUCCAGCCAUGCCGCGUGAGUGAUGAAGGCCCUAGGGUUGUAAAGCUCUUUUGUGCGGGAAGAUAAUGACGGUACCGCAAGAAUAAGCCCCGGCUAAAUUCGUGCCAGCAGCCGCGGUAAUACGAAGGGGGCUAGCGUUGCUCGGAAUCACUGGGCGUAAAGGGUGCGUAGGCGGGUCUUUAAGUCAGGGGUGAAAUCCUGGAGCUCAACUCCAGAACUGCCUUUGAUACUGAAGAUCUUGAGUUCGGGAGAGGUGAGUGGAACUGCGAGUGUAGAGGUGAAAUGCGUAGAUAUCUGGAGGAACACCGGUGGCGAAGGCGGCAUCCUGGACCGAUACUGACGCUGAGGAGCGAAAGCCAGGGGAGCAAA
rnacentral:rRNA from 1 species